GGGUUGUGAGGUUAAGCGACUAAGCGUACACGGUGGAUGCCCUGGCAGUCAGAGGCGAUGAAGGACGUGCUAAUCUGCGAAAAGCGUCGGUAAGGUGAUAUGAACCGUUACAGCCGGCGAUGUCCGAAUGGGGAAACCCAGUGCAAUUCGUUGCACUAUCGUUAACUGAAUACAUAGGUUAACGAGGCGAACCGGGGGAACUGAAACAUCUAAGUACCCCGAGGAAAAGAAAUCAACCGAGAUUCCCCCAGUAGCGGCGAGCGAACGGGGAGCAGCCCGGAGUCUGAAUCAGCUUGUGUGUUAGUGGAAGCGUCUGGAAAGUCGCAGGGUACAGGGUGAUACUCCCGUACACUAAAACACACAGGCUGUGAACUCGAAGAGUAGGGCGGGACACGUGGUAUCCUGUCUGAAUAUGGGGGGACCAUCCUCCAAGGCUAAAUACUCCUGACUGACCGAUAGUGAACCAGUACCGUGAGGGAAAGGCGAAAAGAACCCCGGCGAGGGGAGUGAAAAAGAACCUGAAACCGUGUACGUACAAGCAGUAGGAGCCCACUAGUUGGGUGACUGCGUACCUUUUGUAUAAUGGGUCAGCGACUUAUAUUCUGUAGCAAGGUUAACCGAAUAGGGGAGCCGCAGGGAAA
rnacentral:rRNA from 1 species